rnacentral:lncRNA from 1 species
UUUACUUUACUACAUUGGUUAGAGGUAUAGGGGGAGGGUUGAGAUCUCACAAACAUGUUUAACCCCGCCGCAUUUUUGCGCCUGUCCCAAGUCAGGAGCCUCUGGCCUUUGUUAGUCUUGUAUUAUUUUAAUUUUAGUUUCUUGUGUACAGUUUGGAAAUUAGUAUGGCGUUCAUUAUCACUGGACUAGUAUAUAUUUGUUUAGGGGCCAGCUGAAGGACGCCUCCGGGUGCGGGAAUUUCCCGCUACAUUGAAGACCUGUUGGUGACCCUCUGCUGUUGUUUUUUAUUUGGGCGGGUUGUUGUCUCUUUGACACAUUCCCCAUUUCCAUUCUCAAUUUAAUGUA